AGGAUGAACGCUGGCGGCGUGCCUAAUACAUGCAAGUCGAGCGAACAGACGAGGAGCUUGCUCCUCUGACGUUAGCGGCGGACGGGUGAGUAACACGUGGAUAACCUACCUAUAAGACUGGGAUAACUUCGGGAAACCGGAGCUAAUACCGGAUAAUAUAUUGAACCGCAUGGUUCAAUAGUGAAAGACGGUUUUGCUGUCACUUAUAGAUGGAUCCGCGCCGCAUUAGCUAGUUGGUAAGGUAACGGCUUAACCAAGGCAACGAUGCGUAGCCGACCUGAGAGGGUGAUCGGCCACACUGGAACUGAGACACGGUCAGACU
rnacentral:rRNA from 1 species